CGCGGGGUGGAGCAGCCCGGUAGCUCGUCAGGCUCAUAACCUGAAGGUCGUAGGUUCAAAUCCUGCCCCCGCACCCA
rnacentral:tRNA from 9 species